UCUUAAAUAUGCAAUGGAGUUAUUAUGCACUCAGAUUCGUAUAUGCAAUGAAGCUAUUAUGCAUCAAAUUACAGCCUAGGAAGUAAAUAACCGAUUACCCUUCCGAAAGUGGGUCGGAGAGUUUGUGUGCACCUGAUGGUCAUCUUCAGAAGUUCUGAACUUUCUGGGUAUAUAUUUGCUACAUGGGAGGACUCCUCGAUAAUAAUAAUAUAUCAUGAUUAUGGUAUAUAGCCGAUCCUGAACAUGAACAAGACAUAAAAUAAUAAUGGAUUCUCUACGAAGAAAUUAUGGACUGUAUACCAAUGAUUUAGAAUUCCAAGUAAUAAAUGCUAUAAGAUUAUAGUACAUCAUCUGAGAAAGCAGACCUUUGUAGUCAUAUUAAUAUUACUCCAACUGACCAUAUACCUUCGUAGUCAUAAGAAACUGCACUAACAAAGAUAUACGAGUGUGCAAUACAAUUAAAAUAUUAGAAAGUGUCACUGGAAUUGAGAGCUAGGUUCUUGCCACAUGUUCAUCUAUAUAUAGCUCUGAACGACCAAUAGCUGACUCGUGAUUGGUUAUAUUUAAUUCACAGUUGAUGAUAUUGUUUCCAUUUAAGAUCAAAGUUUGAAAAUGAAUUAGGUAAGUGAAUCUGUACCGUGAUAUCCUUCCAAUAUGCUACAUCUGACCAUAUUUUUUUAGAAAUCUAAAAUCAAAAUGAUACAGCAACACAACUCUGACGUAAGGUUCAGUUAUAUUAAUAGUAUUGUAUCUUGUUGUCUCUACUUUUUUUGGAUAAUAAAUAAACUAUAGCUAAAUGCUAGAGGCCUAUGUCGAGCUUCUGUUUUACAUGUAGGGAUAUAUUUGUGCUUUUGCUUAUGCAAUUUGUUUAUUCAGUGCUAGGCCUCCUGCCGCCGUUGCCGCCUCCAGCCUCUCGCCGCCGACGUGUCCCAGGGCUGGUCAAGAUUCUCAAGAAAUAUGACAAGAGAACUAGGUCCCUUAUCCGUCUCCAUUUCAUUAAAAAUGUCCUACUUCAGCCUUUCUUCACCACUGACCCAUGUACCAGCUUGUGAAGGAGUGUGAGGUUAUGCUCGACUAGCUCCUAUAAUGGAACAAACCAUCUGUAUCAAAUGAAGAUCAAAUGAAGAUGGAAAAGAAGAUAUCAACACUAAGACAAGCCUCCGAACCCUAGUUCUUUCUUGGAUAGUUGAAUGCAUUCUAGAGCUUGAUGUUCAUGAAGACCAUGUAAGUACGUGAAGAGCUUGAUGAGAUAGAUUGCAACUUA